AUAAUUUAAUAAUCUUGAAUACACAACGUCUAAAUGAUAGCUGGAUUAAAAUUGACGAACAGAUACGUGUCAGUUAAACUUCAUUGAUCUGGUUUUCUAAAUGAGAUUACUUGGGUGGACGAUGUUUCGAUAACCGAUAAUAACGAUAUGAAUGAUGUUUGCUGUGUACCUGUGAAUAAUCCUCUGACAUAAAAAUUCAUGACUUACAUACAUCAACCGACAAUUUCUUAAAAUAACAAUGAACAACCGAGAGUCUAGAUGGCAGCGUUUAUUAUUUACUGUGGCGUUUGCUAUGCUGUGGAAGCAUCAGAUUGCUUUUGCAGCUUUGGUGGUGGAUUGGACUGUUUUUUCCGAAGAAUCUGGAACAGUAAGGCUAUGUA